CUCUUUUUUAGGACUACAGUAUUACAAGAAAACAGAAAAUUGCAGGAAGAAAAAGAGUUCUGAGAGGCCUGUUCCUUCAGAUUUGACGUGGUCUUCGACCCCCGAGUCAGCUCCCUCACAACCGGAAGUGUCCAGAGU